rfam:Oikopleura dioica, whole genome shotgun assembly, reference scaffold set, scaffold scaffold_6
GGCCCGAUGGCUUAGUUGGUUAAAGCGCCUGACUAGUAAUCAGGAGAUCCCGAGUUCAAAUCUCGGUCGGGCCU